rnacentral:misc_RNA from 1 species
CCAAAAACCUAUACAGAAAUCUCUACGGGAAAAACUCACGUCACUCAGUCACAACAUACACGUCAAUAAAAGAAUAAUAACAAAUGUCAACGCAUGACUUAGAAAAUGAGUAAACUUGUAUUCCUGGAACAGAGUUACGAUGACGAAGAUUUCGACAAAGACAGCACUGACACAGAAGAAUAUUUGGACUCGUUGGCCGAUUUAAACGAUUUUAUGGAUUGCCCCUCAACAGUCUCCUGGCAAACCGAGAAACAGAAGGCCAUCGAAAGUUUAAUCGAAAAUUGUUGUGAUACUACAUCUUUUAGAGGACUUUGUUUUUCUCGUGGCGGUCUUCUGAAUGACGAUUUAAGGAAAAAUGUGUGGCCACUCAUAGCGAGAGAUAACAAAAUGUUCAUAGACAGAAUUUCAUCAGAAGAGAUUAAGCAUCAUCAGUACUACAACCAGGUGGUAAUGGAUGUCAAACGAAUUUUAAAACGCUUCCCUCCAGGUAUUAAUGAAAAUAUUCAAGCAGACCUCCAAGUAAAAGUCACAGAGCUGAUAAUAAGAGUUCUGAUAGCAAAUGAAGGUCUCCAUUACUAUCAGGGUUUUCAUGAUAUUGCCAUCACACUGUUGCUUGUAUUAGGAGAAGAGAAAAGUUACAGCGUGUUAUGCAGACUUUCCCAAUCACAUUUCCAACUGUUCAUGGGACCAGAUAUGGAGCCUACAAUGGAAAUUCUUAACUUAGUGUAUGCACUAGUCAAAAAUGAAAAUCGUGAUUUGUACAAUUAUUUGAUGAGGUCGGAGCUAGGGACAAUUUUCUGCCUUCCGUGGGCGAUUACUUGGUUUGGCCAUGUUCUCAACGAUUACGAAACUGUCAGCAAGUGAUAUUUUCUUGACACCGUGCGAGAUGCCGCUUCUACAUCAAAUGCUCUCCAACGUCCCUGAUAAUCUACCAUUUGAUAGUCUUAUUACUGAAA